rnacentral:rRNA from 1 species
AUUGAACGCUGGCGGCAUGCCUUACACAUGCAAGUCGAACGGUAACGCGGGGCAACCUGGCGACGAGUGGCGAACGGGUGAGUAAUGCAUCGGAACGUGCCCAGUAGUGGGGGAUAACUGCUCGAAAGAGCAGCUAAUACCGCAUACGACCUGAGGGUGAAAGCGGGGGAUCGCAAGACCUCGCGCUAUUGGAGCGGCCGAUGUCAGAUUAGGUAGUUGGUGGGGUAAAGGCCCACCAAGCCAACGAUCUGUAGCUGGUCUGAGAGGACGACCAGCCACACUGGGACUGAGACACGGCCCAUACUCCUACGGGAGGCAGCAGUGGGGAAGUUUGGACAAUGGACGCAAGGCUGAUCCAGCCAUGCCGCGUGCGGGAAGAAGGCCUUCGGGUUGUAAACCGCUUUUGUCAGGGAAGAAACGCUCUGGGUUAAUACCUCGGGGUAAUGACGGUACCUGAAGUAUAAGCACCGGCUAACUACGUGCCAGCCGCCGCUGUAAUAC